ACGCGUGAGGAACCUGCCUCAAAGAGGGGGACAACAGUUGGAAACGACUGCUAAUACCGCAUAAGCCCACGGCUCGGCAUCGAGCAGAGGGAAAAGGAGCAAUCCGCUUUGAGAUGGCCUCGCGUCCGAUUAGCUAGUUGGUGAGGUAACGGCCCACCAAGGCGGCGAUCGGUAGCCGGACUGAGAGGUUGAACGGCCACAUUGGGACUGAGACACGGCCCAGACUCCUACGGGAGGCAGCAGUGGGGAAUAUUGCACAAUGGGGGAAACCCUGAUGCAGCGACGCCGCGUGGAGGAAGAAGGUCUUCGGAUUGUAAACUCCUGUUGUUGGGGAAGAUAAUGACGGUACCCAACAAGGAAGUGACGGCUAACUACGUGCCAGCAGCCGCGGUAAAACGUAGGUCACAAGCGUUGUCCGGAAUUACUGGGUGUAAAGGGAGCGCAGGCGGGAAGACAAGUUGGAAGUGAAAUCUAUGGGCUCAACCCAUAAACUGCUUUCAAAACUGUUUUUCUUGAGUAGUGCAGAGGUAGGCGGAAUUCCCGGUGUA
rnacentral:rRNA from 1 species